UUUGAUGCUGGAUCGAAUCAUCAGAAACCCUAACGUAAAAGCUUGUCCGCUAAUCUGAUAUCCUCUGUCUCUUAAAUGGAUUAAUGCUAAUUACAAAGAUCGAUUAAUUAGAAACCCUAGUAAUCGUUCAUAAAUUACGGAGAUCGCUCGUCUUUUACUUUUUCGCGCCUAUUUCAUUCGUGAGCUCAUCUCUCUCUCAUUUAAUAUUCCCUUCAGCGCCUAUUUUGUUAACUGAAUCACGGAACUUCUUAAUCGAAACAAACUUCAGAGGAUUUUACGAUCGCCUCGCACAGUGUUCUCCACAAUAGCACCGUUGCUUCAUCAGACGAGGUGUACAAUCUCGUCACCAUGUUCACUUACAAAAUUCUCUACAUCUAUUUUAAGCUUCGUUGAAAGGAUUGAAGCGACUCAUCACCAUGUGCGGUGACUAAAACAAGAUGGAUAUUGGUUCACUAGAUGAAUAAAAGGCAAGAAUUAUUUGGCAUACUCCAGGAUGUAUGUUGAAACGGACAUAGAAGCCUAAAUUCAUCAACUUCGGAACGGAGCAAAAGGUUCUGUUUUACAAUCUUUAAAGCUGAAGCUGAUGCCAUUACAUGGCUUAACAGAGUUAAACACUCCAGUUCCUAGUUGGAGAAGUCAGAUCGUCAAUCAAAUUUCUUUUGGAACCAUUAAGCCAGCUGAAGAAGCAACACUGAAAUCACUUAUUGGGAGGAAAGUUAGAACCAAAUGACCCAUGUUGCUGUUGAGGGAUGACAUGCUCUGGUUUAUGAUUUUGGCUCUACUAACGAGAUAUGGGAAGGUAUUAUCCCAAGGUUGACUUUAUGGGACCGUAGUUGGGAUUGCUGCAAGAAUCAUUAUGGCUGCGAGGCCUUUUUUUCUUGACUCCAAUGUUUGAGUACCCCUCAGGUUUAUCUUCAUGUUAUAACUGUUCUCACAUUCGACCACAUGCCAUAGCUCGCUCUUCAGCAGUAUUCUAUUGAGCCAUUUACUUACAAUUGGAAUGUGAUAUUGCUGGUAUUAUUUCUGAAACAGGUGCUUAUUUCUAUUUAUUUAUGAUUGGAGAAGAAUAAUGCACUUACAGAUUUUCAGAGUUGCUAGUUCCUAAAGAUUGUAAUUCAAGUCAAGAUAAUUAUUUAAUCUUAA